GGUAGUCCACCCCGUAAACGUUGGGAACUAGUUGUGGGGACCAUUCCACGGUUUCCGUGACGCAGCUAACGCAUUAAGUUCCCCGCCUGGGGAGUACGGCCGCAAGGCCAAAACUCAAAGGAAUUGACGGGGACCCGCACAAGCGGCGGAGCAUGCGGAUUAAUUCGAUGCAACGCGAAGAACCUUACCAGGGCUUGACAUACACCAGAACACCGUAGAAAUACGGGACUCUUUGGACACUGGUGAACAGGUGGUGCAUGGUUGUCGUCAGCUCGUGUCGUGAGAUGUUGGGUUAAGUCCCGCAACGAGCGCAACCCUCGUUCUAUGUUGCCAGCACGUAAUGGUGGGAACUCAUGGGAUACUGCCGGGGUCAACUCGGAGGAAGGUGGGGAUGACGUCAAAUCAUCAUGCCCCUUAUGUCUUGGGCUUCACGCACGCUACAAUGGCCGGUACAAAGGGCUGCAAUACCGUGAGAUGGAGCGAAUCCCAAAAAGCCGGUCCCAGUUCGGAUUGAGGUCUGCAACUCGACCUCAUGAAGUCGGAGUCGCUAGUAAUCGCAGAUCAGCAACGCUGCGGUGAAUACGUUCCCGGGUCUUGUACACACCGCCCGUCAAGUCAUGAAAGUCGGUAACACCUGAAGCCGGUGGCCCAACCCUUGUGGAGGGAGCCGUCGAAGGUGGGAUCGGUAAUUAGGACUAAGUCGUAACAAGGUAGCCGUACCGGAAGGUGC
rnacentral:rRNA from 1 species